UGCAGUCGAGCGCAUCCUUCGGGAUGAGCGGCGGACGGGUUAGUAACGCGUGGGAACGUGCCCUUCUCUAAGGAAUAGCCACUGGAAACGGUGAGUAAUACCUUAUACGCCCUUCGGGGGAAAGAUUUAUCGGAGAAGGAUCGGCCCGCGUUAGAUUAGAUAGUUGGUGGGGUAACGGUCUACCAAGUCUACGAUCUAUAGCUGGUUUUAGAGGAUGAUCAGCAACACUGGGACUGAGACACGGCCCAGACUCCUACGGGAGGCAGCAGUGGGGAAUCUUAGACAAUGGGCGCAAGCCUGAUCUAGCCAUGCCGCGUGAGUGAUGAAGGCCUUAGGGUCGUAAAGCUCUUUCGCCAGAGAUGAUAAUGACAGUAUCUGGUAAAGAAACCCCGGCUAACUCCGUGCCAGCAGCCGCGGUAAUACGGAGGGGGUUAGCGUUGUUCGGAAUUACUGGGCGUAAAGCGCACGUAGGCGGAUCAGAAAGUAUAGGGUGAAAUCCCAGGGCUCAACCCUGGAACUGCCUUGUAAACUCCUGAUCUUGAGUUCGAGAGAGGUGAGUGGAAUUCCGAGUGUAGAGGUGAAAUUCGUAGAUAUUCGGAGGAACACCAGUGGCGAAGGCGGCU
rnacentral:rRNA from 1 species